rnacentral:rRNA from 1 species
UACGAACCGUCCAAACGUUACUCGGAAUCACUGGGCUUAAAGGGUGCGUAGGCCGCGCGGAGGGUGGGAUGUGAAAUCCCCCGGCUCAACCGGGGAAUAGCGUCCCAAACCGCCGUGCUCGAGGGAGACAGAGGUGAGCGGAACUGAUGGUGGAGCGGUGAAAUGCGUUGAUAUCAUCAGGAACACCAGUGGCGAAAGCGGCUCACUGGGUCUUUCCUAACGCUGAGACACGAAGGCCAGGGGAGCAAACGGG